AUUGAACGCUGGCGGCAUGCCUUACACAUGCAAGUCGAACGGCAGCACGGGAGCAAUCCUGAUGGCGAGCGGCGAACGGGUGAGUAAUACAUCGGAACAUGCCCAGUCGUGGGGGAUAACACUUCGAAAGAAGUGCUAAUACCGCAUACGUCCUGAGGGAGAAAGCGGGGGAUCUUCGGACCUCGCGCGAUUGGAGUGGCCGAUGUCAGAUUAGCUAGUUGGUGGGGUAAAGGCCUACCAAGGCAACGAUCUGUAGCUGGUCUGAGAGGAUGAUCAGCCACACUGGGACUGAGACACGGCCCAGACUCCUACGGGAGGCAGCAGUGGGGAAUUUUGGACAAUGGGGGCAACCCUGAUCCAGCCAUUCCGCGUGAGUGAAGAAGGCCUUCGGGUUGUAAAGCUCUUUCGGCAGGAACGAAACGGCGAGCUCUAACAUAGCUCGCUAAUGACGGUACCUGAAGAAGAAGCACCGGCUAACUACGUGCCAGCAGCCGCGGUAAUAC
rnacentral:rRNA from 1 species